AGGACGAACGCUGGCGGCGUGCUUAACACAUGCAAGUCGAGCGGAAAGGCCCUUCGGGGUACUCGAGCGGCGAACGGGUGAGUAACACGUGAGCAACCUGCCCUUAGCUUCGGGAUAGCUCCGGGAAACCGGAAUUAAUACCGGAUAUGACUAUGGCCGACAUCAGCCAUGGUGGAAAGUUUUUCGGCUAGGGAUGGACUCGCGGCCUAUCAGCUAGUUGGUGAGGUAACGGCUCACCAAGGCGACGAUGGGUAGCCGGCCUGAGAGGGCGACCGGCCACACUGGGACUGAGACACGGCCCCAGACUCCUACGGGAGGCAGCAGUGGGGAAUAUUGCGCAAUGGGCGAAAGCCUGACGCAGCGACGCCGCGUGGGGGAUGAAUGCCUUCGGGUUGUAACCCGUUUCAGCAGGGACGAAGCGAAAGUGACGGUACCUGCAGAAGAAGCGCCGGCUAACUACGUGCCAGCAGCCGC
rnacentral:rRNA from 1 species